CGGACGGGUGAGUAACGCGUGGGUAACCUACCCUGUACACACAGAUAACAUACCGAAAGGUAUGCUAAUACGGGAUAAUAUAUUUGAGAGGCAUCUCUUGAAUAUCAAAGGUGAGCCAGUACAGGAUGGACCCGCGUCUGAUUAGCUAGUUAGUAAGGUAACGGCUUACCAAGGCGACGAUCAGUAGCCGACCUGAGAGGGUGAUCGGCCACAUUGGAACUGAGACACGGUCCAA
rnacentral:rRNA from 1 species